rnacentral:rRNA from 1 species
ACCGCUAUCGGUAUGCGACUAAGGCAUGCGAGUCGAGCAGGUGUAAGACCUCGGCAGACGGCUGAGUAACACGCGGAUAAUCUACCCUGGAGUGGGGGAUAAUCUCGGGAAACUGAGGAUAAUACCCCAUAGGUGUGGUAUGCUGGAAUGCUUCCACGCUCAAAGCCACGGCGCUCCAGGAUGAGUCUGCGGCCUAUCAGGCUGUAGUGGGUGUAACGGACCCACUAACCUACGACGGGUAGGGGCGUUGAGAGACGGAGCCCCCAGAUGGAUUCUGAGACACGAAUCCAGGCCCUACGGGGCGCAGCAGCUACGAAAACUGCCCAAUGUGGGAAACCACGAGGCGGGCAUACCGAGUGCCAACGCAUUGCGUUUGCUGUUCUUUCGCCUAAAAAGCGAGAGAAGUAAGGGCCGGGUAAGACGGGUGCCAGCCGCCGCGAUAAUACCCGCGGCCCGAGUGGUGCUCAUUAUUAUUGAGCUUAAAGCGUUCGUAGCCGGCCUCGUAAUCCUUGGGUAAAUCGNGCAGCUCAACUGUUCGAAUNCCGAGGAGACUGCGAGGCUCGGGACCGGGAGA